CACAGAUUUACUGGCAAACAGAACCAGGGACUCUUCAGCAGCUCUGUCUGCAAUGGCAGAAAUUGGCGCCGCUGGAUCUCGCAGCGGGGUCAGCCCGCGGCUCCCCGGGGCCGCCUGCCGGGCCCGGCUCCCUCCGGGAUGCUCCAUAAGGAAAGCAACAGCUCCUACGUGUGGCCGGCCGGGAUCAGACCUGGGAAACGCUGUGGUAGCUUAAAAAACCCGAGCUGGAAGAGGCCUGCAGGGAAAAACACCAAACCCAGAUGGCUUCUGGCAGAUGGGAUUAGACCCUGGCAAUCCUUGGGCACAGGAAUAUCAAAUGGUGAACAUCUGUGAUUUGCCCUGGACAUGGGCUGAGAGGAGGAAAUAAAUGGUAUUGCAGCAAAAUCCCUUCCAGGACUUCAGUUUUCAGCACACUGACUUGGACUAAGGCUGCUGGGAGCUGCUCAGGCUGAAGGACAGGAAUCCUGGUAAUACAAGCGUAAGUAUGAGAUUUUGCUGCAAACUAGGCCCUGGGAGGAGGGUUCUUGAAAGUAUAAUCUAUUUUCACCCUUAAGAGCAUGUUUUGAGAUGCUGUGAAGAUGUAGAAACAAGGAGUCUUUUUUCUCUCCAGGAGAGCACGUCUGAAGCAACACAGGAGGUGCUGUGGCAACGUAGUACCAGAUUUUACAUUUUGAAAAGUCCCUCUAAAAGCUGGCAUGAUGCCUGUCUAAAUUAAACACUUUAUGGCAUGUAUCUCCCUGCUGCGAUGUUAGACUAAUCUGAAACAAAGCUAUUCAUGUGGAGGACCUUGGAGGAGACAAUUCAGGUUUGGAAAUCCCAUAAACUUUUUUUUUUUUCUUAGCACAGUGCUAAGUUCAGAACCCAGUCUGCCAUUUGAGGACCAGUUUAAAAGACUUAAUGUAAAAUCCCAUCUCUGUCUCAGCAUGGAAACUAUAUAAUAUUUAUUACUCUGAUAUUGAUCUUUUGUAGCACAACAUGAUUGAAAUUUAAGGCCAUGAACCCUAUUGCUCUUCAAAUGUGCUGGUGCUUCUGAGAAUUUUGGAGGGAUUUCCAGAAGACUUUCAGUUUCCCAACAAGCACUGAAACUAAAUCCCAGCUCCCGUCACCCCAUUGCUUUGGAAGGGAAGUGCGUAAUUAAGAGCUUGUCUUGAAAAAAGAAUCUCAGCCUCAUCUAAACCCCAUUUGACAGCCAAAUGCUGUGCUUCAGACAGAGCACGUGGUGUGUGACAGGCACAGAAGAGCAGGGACACACAAAUGUGCAUUCCAGGUGCCGUGGGGUUCCCUCCUGCUGUCAAACGUGCCACUGGCAGUGCCAGCCUUAGGAUUACUCCUGACAAAAACUUCUCCUCAGCUAAAGAGCUGUGAGGGCAGCUGGUGGGUGGGGGACGCAGCUGAUGUUGACCUUAAAACGAGUGGCAUGUGUUGUGUUGAGGUCGAGGUGGCAGGAUGCCCCCAUGACAUAUUUCUUACAGCUUAGACGCGCCAGAUCGGAUUCCUGUUGACACGUAAAGCCCUUUUCCGCAGCUCUGGCAGUGCUAAGAGCUGGGACAGCCUAAUCUCUUCCUAAGAGCCUCCUGUGCAGUAACCAAAACCCUGGGGUUUUGCAUGGAGAGGUGAGUGUGCUGAUGUAGGGUCUGUGGUGCUCCUUGGCACCAUCCCCUGUGCUUUGUGUCUGCCUCCCUGGUGUCCUGGACACAUCUGUCUUCAAGCAACCAGGGUGGUCUCUCUCCAAGCACUGUGUGGGUGACACGUGGCAGCUCUGUGUGUCCCUACUCCCUCAUCAGCUUCAGAGACGUAGGUCUGGAAGGUGCAAAAGGUACUUGAAGAGUGUGUGCUCAGGAGCCUGGCCCUGC
ensembl:lncRNA